CAUUACUGUAAGAUAAAAGGGUUUUGAGACUGCAUAUAUAAUAUAUGUGUGCKCGACUCUCAKUCUUUCACUCCACAUACACCUUUUGUGCACUUAUGGGACGGYAGAGUCCCCUUUCUUUUACAUAAACCCCUAGUUAUAUGCAUGUGKUUUAAUACUCYACGGAGUAAUAUACAACUUUCAACAACGGAUCUCUUGGCUUUUGCAUCGAUGAAGAACGCAGCGAAUGUGCGAAACGUAAUGUGAAUUGCAGAAUUCAGUGAAUCAUCGAAUCUUUGAACGCAUCUUGCGCUCCUUGGCAUUCCGAGGAGCAUGCCUGUUUGAGUGUCGUGRACUACUCUCAAUUUCUAAUCUUUCUUUGGAUGGAUUUGAAAUUGGAUUUGGAUGAUGUUGUGAAAAAGUGAUCACAACUGAUCCUAAAUGGAUUAACGGUCUGAAUUUGAUCACGCAAUGUGAUAAGUUGAAAUGUGCAUUGUUUAAAGAUGAAAGACAGACUGUGUAUAGAUGAUUAACUUUUGUUAUAUGUCAUUUGACCUCAAAUCAGGUAGGAUUACCCGCUGAACUUAAGCAUAUCAAUA
rnacentral:rRNA from 1 species